rnacentral:rRNA from 1 species
GCUUAACACAUGCAAGUCGAGGGGCAGCAUGGUCUUAGCUUGCUAAGGCCGAUGGCGACCGGCGCACGGGUGAGUAACACGUAUCCAACCUGCCGUCUACUCUUGGACAGCCUUCUGAAAGGAAGAUUAAUACAAGAUGGCAUCAUGAGUCCGCAUGUUCACAUGAUUAAAGGUAUUCCGGUAGACGAUGGGGAUGCGUUCCAUUAGAUAGUAGGCGGGGUAACGGCCCACCUAGUCUUCGAUGGAUAGGGGUUCUGAGAGGAAGGUCCCCCACAUUGGAACUGAGACACGGUCCAAACUCCUACGGGAGGCAGCAGUGAGGAAUAUUGGUCAAUGGGCGAGAGCCUGAACCAGCCAAGUAGCGUGAAGGAUGACUGCCCUAUGGGUUGUAAACUUCUUUUAUAAAGGAAUAAAGUCGGGUAUGGAUACCCGUUUGCAUGUACUUUAUGAAUAAGGAUCGGCUAACUCCGUGCCAGCAGCCGCGGUAAUACGGAGGAUCCGAGCGUUAUCCGGAUUUAUUGGGUUUAAAGGGAGCGUAGAUGGAUGUUUAAGUCAGUUGUGAAAGUUUGCGGCUCAACCGUAAAAUUGCAGUUGAUACUGGAUAUCUUGAGUGCAGUUGAGGCAGGCGGAAUUCGUGGUGUAGCGGUGAAAUGCUUAGAUAUCACGAAGAACUCCGAUUGCGAAGGCAGCCUGCUAAGCUGCAACUGACAUUGAGGCUCGAAAGUGUGGGUAUCAAACAGGAUUAGAUACCCUGGUAGUCCACACGGUAAACGAUGAAUACUCGCUGUUUGCGAUAUACAGCAAGCGGCCAAGCGAAAGCGUUAAGUAUUCCACCUGGGGAGUACGCCGGCAACGGUGAAACUCAAAGGAAUUGACGGGGGCCCGCACAAGCGGAGGAACAUGUGGUUUAAUUCGAUGAUACGCGAGGAACCUUACCCGGGCUUAAAUUGCAGAUGAAUUACGGUGAAAGCCGUAAGCCGCAAGGCAUCUGUGAAGGUGCUGCAUGGUUGUCGUCAGCUCGUGCCGUGAGGUGUCGGCUUAAGUGCCAUAACGAGCGCAACCCUUGUUGUCAGUUACUAACAGGUCAUGCUGAGGACUCUGACAAGACUGCCAUCGUAAGAUGUGAGGAAGGUGGGGAUGACGUCAAAUCAACACGGCCCUUACGUCCGGGGCUACACACGUGUUACAAUGGGGGGUACAGAGGGCCGCUACCACGCGAGUGGAUGCCAAUCCCAAAAACCUCUCUCAGUUCGGACUGGAGUCUGCAACCCGACUCCACGAAGCUGGAUUCGCUAGUAAUCGCGCAUCAGCCACGGCGCGGUGAAUACGUUCCCGGGCCUUGUACACACCGCCCGUCAAGCCAUGGGAGCCGGGGGUACCUGAAGUGCGUAACCGCGAGGAGCGCCCUAGGGUAAAACUGGUGACUGGGGCUAA